AAAACUAAUUACAAAUAUCUCAUUUCUUACAUUUUCUCUCUCCAACCUCCAUAUACAUAUCACACCUCCACAAUUUAUGCCUAACAUCAAGCAACAAUAAUUAAGAAAUUUCAAGAUUUGAAUUUACAAAGCUUAUAUUAUCAAGUUGUUGAACAUCGUCAUCUUCUUUAAUUUCUUUUUAGGUUAGUUUAAUUUUUUAAUUUUUUCAACUUUACUAAAUCAAAAAUCUACGAGUUACUUGGUGCAUGUGCGUAAUUCUCAAAGUUUAAGCAUAGUAAUGGAGUCUGGUCCGAGUUUUAGAAAAAAUAGAUCGAAACGACCACGGCCGCCAAGAUAAAGAAGUUGAGGAAAUUUGCUUGUACAAGCUCUAAAAAUUCCGUUACUAAAUCUUCAAGUAAGAUAAAAAGUGAAGAAUCAUCACAACCACGCCUUUCAAAGGUAUAGUGAUUUGUUGUUGAACUUGUAUUUUUUUUAAUCGAUUUACGCAUUCUUCUACAUUGUUAUAUAAGAGUGUUUUAUUGUUACUUCAACCUUAUACAUAAAUUAGUAUGUAUAGUGUUAGAGACGUCUUCUUAUACAUUAAAUUUGUUAUGUAUCUGGUUAAAUUACUUAGUAAAUCAAUGUUGUUAUUUUGAACUAUGAUACAUAGCGAGUUAUGUAUAUAUUUGUAGCUAUGUCAUUUGUUGGACGUUUUAUUUGAACCCAUAUACAUAAAUUUGUUAUGUAUGUGCAUUGAAACAAGACACUGCUGGACUGUUUAAUUUCAGGUCAUAUACAUUACAGAGUUAUAUAUAUGUUAUGCAUCAAUAGUGUUAUACAUAGCACACUUAUGUAUAUGAUUCUGC
rnacentral:lncRNA from 1 species